UACGGAGGGUGCAAGCGUUAUCCGGAUUCACUGGGUUUAAAGGGUGCGUAGGUGGCGCCGUAAGUGGGGUGUGAAAUCCCGGGGCUUAACCCCGGGACUGCAUUCCAUACUGCGGUGCUUGAGGACUGGAGAGGAGACUGGAAUUUACGGUGUAGCAGUGAAAUGCGUAGAGAUCGUAAGGAAGACCAGUGGCGAAGGCGGGUCUCUGGACAGUUCCUGACACUGAGGCACGAAGGCCAGGGGAGCAAACGGG
rnacentral:rRNA from 1 species